rnacentral:rRNA from 1 species
GAUGAACGCUGGCGGCGUGCCUAAUACAUGCAAGUCGAGCGAACAGAUAAGGAGCUUGCUCCUUUGACGUUAACGGCGGACGGGUGAGUAACACGUGGAUAACCUACCUAUAAGACUGGGAUAACUUCGGGAAACCGGAGCUAAUACCGGAUAACAUAUUGAACCGCAUGGUUCAAUAGUGAAAGGCGGCUUUGCUGUCACUUAUAGAUGGAUCCGCGCCGUAUUAGCUAGUUGGUAAGGUAACGGCUUACCAAGGCAACGAUACGUAGCCGACCUGAGAGGGUGAUCGGCCACACUGGAACUGAGACACGGUCCAGACUCCUACGGGAGGCAGCAGUAGGGAAUCUUCCGCAAUGGGCGAAAGCCUGACGGAGCAACGCCGCGUGAGUGAUGAAGGUCUUCGGAUCGUAAAACUCUGUUAUCAGGGAAGAACAAAUGUGUAAGUAACUGUGCACAUCUUGACGGUACCUGAUCAGAAAGCCACGGCUAACUACGUG